rnacentral:rRNA from 1 species
UAUACGGCGAAACUGCGAAUGGCUCAUUAUAUAAGUUAUCGUUUAUUUGAUAGUACCUUACUACUUGGAUAACCGUGGUAAUUCUAGAGCUAAUACAUGCUAAAAAUCCCGACUUCGGAAGGGAUGUAUUUAUUAGAUUAAAAACCAAUGCCCUUCGGGGCUCCUUGGUGAUUCAUGAUAACUUCGCGAAUCGCAUGGCCUUGCGCCGGCGAUGGUUCAUUCAAAUUUCUUCCCUAUCAACUUUCGAUGUUUGGGUAUUGGCCAAACAUGGUUGCAACGGGUAACGGAGGGUUAGGGCUCGACCCCGGAGAAGGAGCCUGAGAAACGGCUACUACAUCCAAGGAAGGCAGCAGGCGCGCAAAUUACCCAAUCCCGACACGGGGAGGUAGUGACAAUAAAUACUGAUACAGGGCUCUUUAGGGUCUUGUAAUUGGAAUGAGUACAAUUUAAAU